rnacentral:misc_RNA from 1 species
GCUCCGUUGGUGAACCAGCGGAGGGAUCAUUACAGGAUCGAAAGACUCCUAUAACCCCUGUGAACUUACUACAAAUACGUUGCUUCGGCGGGUGCCCCGGGUCUCCCGGGGCGUUCAGCCCGCCGGCAGCCUUCAAAUUCUGUUUCUUUGCGUUGGCAUCUCGAGUAUACAAAAAUAAGUUAAAACUUUCAACAACGGAUCUCUUGGUUCUG